AGCUGAAUGGCGCAGCGGAAGCGCGCCGGGCUCAUAACCCGGAGGACAGAGGAUCGAAACCUCUUUCAGCUA